rnacentral:lncRNA from 1 species
UUUCUAAUGUUAAUUGGUCCACCAUCAGAAGCAGGCAAAUAUUAACAAAGGCCAUUAACCAUUAGAUCUAAAUUGAGGAAUCCUUAUCACUGUUAGUUAAAAUCCGAUGCCCUUAUGCCCAUCUGACACCCAACAUUUAACAAGGUUCUAGUUCUUUUUUUAAAAAGAAAAAAAGAACUGUACUUUUUCGAUGCUAGCCUAUGUAUGC